AUUGACGCUGGCGGCAUGCCUAACACAUGCAAGUCGGGCGAACGGCGGACGGGUGAGUAAUGUAUUAGGAUCUGCCUGAUGGCGGGGGAUAACUACUGGAAACGGUAGCUAAUACCGCAUAACAUCAGAUGAACCCAUAUGGGAUUAGCUUGUAGGUGAGGUAACGGCUCACCUAGGCGACGAUCCCUAGCAGGUCUGAGAGGAUGAUCAGCCACACUGGGACUGAGACACGGCCCAGACUCCUACGGGAGGCAGCAGUGGGGAAUAUUGCACAAUGGGCGCAAGCCUGACGCAGCCAUGCCGCGUGUAUGAAGAAGGCCUUCGGGUUGUAAAGUACUGUCAGUCGGGAGGCGUUACCGACAGAAGAAGCAACGGCUAACUCCGUGCCAGCAGCCGCGGUAAUUC
rnacentral:rRNA from 1 species